UGAAGUGUACGGAUAGGGCCGGUUUUAAUUGACCAAUCCAGAAACACACUGUCAAAUAACUUAACAGGCGCAUCCUCCACUUAAGGUAAGACGCUGAAAGUCCUGCAUCCCCACAGAUGUGAAAGAUGAGGCAGAAACAUUUCUGGAGGUUCCGGCUGCAUACAAAAGACAACCAGCGUUUCCGUGAGCGAGAUUUAUCAGAACCAAACGUUGACAUGAUGGCCAACCAGAGCAAUGUGUUGUGUCUCCCCGUGGUCUCUGACGAGCGAGAAGCUUAUAUGGGUGCACUCACAAAUGAGUUUCAAACCUACAGGCUUGGAUGGUGCAGAAGAGCUGAAACAAGGCCUUCGAGCAGUUGUCCAUACCUGACCAGAACAGACAGCUGACACUGGCACAGCGCUGCUCCUUGCACCCAGACCAGGUGAAAAGGUGUGUUCGAUGAUGACAGAGCUCCGCUAUGGCAUCAGCUGGGGAUUUAAUGACCAUCAGGAAGGUUCGGAGGCGUUCAAGUUGAGUUGGGAGGGAGGCAGAGCUGCAAACCAGGAAAGGGGAACAGAAGAGGAUGGAGACAAAGAAAAAUAAACGUAAAACAACCUGACUGAAGGAAGGCAGGAGAGGUUACGGGAGGAAUCAGGGUGCAAGUUGAGGGAAGGAGAAGUGGGGGAAAUGUGGAGGCUGAUGGAACUAUUGAGCGAAGGAAUGAACAGGAGCAGCUAAUGAAGAAAGACAAGGAUGGAAAAGUAGAAGAAAGGAAAGGAAUACUCAGAGGAAGCGGAAUAAGUAACGACGGUGACAGACGAGGUGGAAUUAAGAAGAACAGCAAGGCGGAGGAGAAUAUUGUGGGAGAGGGCAAAAAGAAGCAAACAAAGGAAGUGGAGUGUCAGAAGUCCACUCAGUCGGAAGAUAACGCUUAUUUAGACGAAAAGGGAAUAGGAAGCCAAAAAGAGAAGCAACGUCCUGUCCCUGAAAGUAGGGUACUCAAUGAGACACAGGAUGCAAUGCCCCUAGCUCAUCCCUUUUGGUGUUCAAUACUUCAGGCCCAGCAUGCCAUGCCUCCUCCCACUGUACAACCAAGACAGAAGUGCUGGGAAAAAAUGACGACACACCUCCUUCUACCUCUAAUAAUGGGAAAAGACCCCUGAGAAAAGUCACUGUGAGGAGAAUCAGAAACGCAGACGCACAAACAGAGUCAAACCAACCACCAAUGGAGGCAACUAUAAAAAAAAAAGGGGCCUUCCCCACCCCGUCUGGUACCCAAAACAAAGAGGCACAGUUUCAGUUGUCGAGGAUGAAGGAGGCUUUCCACGGAAAUGCCAGUAUCCAGACGUUGAGGCGUACAGCAGGCUGGUUGAGGUGUUUGGAAUUGCCACGCCCACAGGUUGGUUCAUUGGGUCGGAGAACAUGCGCUAUUAUAUCAAGGAGAUCCAGGCCGCACUGGAUGAAUAGCGAGCAAUACGGCCAGGCCGUCGCCAACGUCAGGUACCCGGCAGAGCCUGAAGCACUGUGAAAGAAGGAGGUCAAAUCCUGUGCACCGAAUAACCUCAAAUGGGAAGUCAAUUGAAUCCUCUGUUCACGUUUUAAAGGAGGCAUCCGAAGAAGUUUGUUCACUUUCAUUUUGUGGUUUUGUGAAAGACAUUUGUUCACAUGCCAUUUGCUCCUCUUUCACAUGAAUGUAUUCUGUUAUUCUGUUAUUGUUAUUGACCUGUUUGCGGUUAUGAUGUAUGUACAGUCUUUUCUAAUUUGCAACAUGGAUGCUAUUUUCACAUCAACGAUUUCCUUUUGUACCGUGCAGACGUUUUUAUUGUCGUUCAAGUAAAACAGUUUAUGUUGUUUGAA